GCUCGAAAGAGUGAACAAGCUAACUGGAAUUUAGUAUUGCAAAGAAAUUUGUAAUAUUAAAUAAUGUAAGGGAGGAUUAUGACGUUACCUUACGAUGAGUGUCGUCUAACAACUGGUGCCAGAAGACUCGGUAAUACCAGAGACGCGAACGUUAGUCAUCUUAAAUGGGCGUAAAGGGUUCGUAGGCAUCUUAUAGUCUAAAAAAGUUCUAUUGUUAAAUAGCCCAGGCCUAGGCAGGGACUGUGUUAUCAAUAGAUUAUAGACUGAAAAGAAUAAGAUAGAAUCAAGAAGAGGAAAUGGAGAAUGUUUAGAGAAGUGAUGAAAUACUAAGAUCCUAAAUGGAAUACUCGUGGCGAAGGCUCCUUUCCACUAAUGAUUGACGCUGAGGAACGAAGGUGUAGAUAGGAAAUAGGAUUAGAUACCCAGAUACCCUACACUGUCAACGAUGAAUGGCAAGAGUCUAUAACUUUAAAUAUAGGCUCUGAGGCUAAGAGCGCUAACCAUUCCGCCUUGUAAGUAUACUCGCAAGAGUGAAAAUAAAAAAAUUAGUCGGUUCUAGAGCAAACG
rnacentral:rRNA from 1 species